AUCAAUAAGCGGAGGAAAAGAAACUAACAAGGAUUCCCCUAGUAACGGCGAGUGAAGAGGGAAGAGCCCAAGAUUGAAAGCUGGCGUCUUCGGCGUCCGCAUUGUAAUCUCAAGAAGUGUUUUCCGCUUUGGACCAUGCCUAAGUCCCUUGGAAAAGGGCAUCAUAGAGGGUGAUAAUCCCGUACAUGGCAUGGAGCGCCCGAAGCUUUGUGAUACGCUUUCUAAGAGUCGAGUUGUUUGGGAAUGCAGCUCAAAAUGGGUGGUAAAUGCCAUCUAAGGCUAAAUAUUGGGGAGAGACCGAUAGCGAACAAGUACAGUGAUGGAAAGAUGAAAAGAACUUUGAAAAGAGAGUUAAACAGUACGUGAAAUUGCCAAAAGGGAAGGGUAGGAGGUCAGAGAUGCGGCCUAGGAUUCAGCCUUGCUUUUGCUUGGUGUUUUUCCUAGGUUGCAGGCCAACGUCGGUUUUGGGCACUGGAGAAGGGUGGAAGGAAUGUGGCACCUCUCGGGGUGUGUUAUAGCCUUCUACUGGAUACAGCGACCGAGACCGAGGACAGCAGCGUACUCGCAAGAGCGGGCCUUCGGGCACCUUUACGCUUAGGGCGUUGGCAUAAUGGCCCUCUACCACCCGUCUUGAAACACGGACCAAGGAGUCUAACAUGUAUGCGAGUCUUUGGGUGGCAAACCCAUAGGCGCAAUGAAAGUGAAUUCAGGUGGGAUCCGCAAGGUGCACCAUCGACCGAUCCUCACGUCUUUUUAAGUCGUGGAUUUGAGUAAGAGCAUACCUGUUGGGACCCGAAAGAUGGUGAACUAUGCCUGAAUAGGGUGAAGCCAGAGGAAACUCUGGUGGAGGCUCGUAGCGGUUCUGACGUGCAAAUCGAUCGUCAAAUUUGGGUAUAGGGGCGAAAGACUAAACGAACC
rnacentral:rRNA from 1 species